AUGCAGCAGUGGAGCAGCCACGCCCGUCCCGUCACGAUGGGCCACGUGUGUGAUAGUGGUUCUGUAGGACCACCGUGGAGGUGGGACCUUCCUGUCCCUGGGACACCACACACAGGGCCACGUUCCUGUCACCUGGGACAGCACACACAGGGCCACGUUCCUGUCCCUGGGACAGCGCACACAGGGCCACGUUCCUGUCCCUGGGACAGCGCACACAGGGCCACGUUCCUGUCCCUGGGACAGCGCACACAGGGCCAUGUUCCUGUCCCUGGGACAGCACACCCAGGGCCACUUUCCUGUCACCUGGGACGGCGCACACAGGGCCACAUUCCUGUCCCUGGGACAGCACACACAGGGCCACGUUCCUGUCCCUGGGACAGCGCACACAGGGCCACGUUCCUGUCCCUGGGACAGCGCACACAGGGCCACGUUCCUGUCCCUGGGACAGCGCACACAGGGCCACGUUCCUGUCCCUGGGACAGCGCACACAGGGCCACGUUCCUGUCCCUGGACAGCACACACAGGGCCAUGUUCCUGUCCCUGGGACAGCGCACACAGGGGCCACGUUCCUGUCCCUGGGACAGCGCACACAGGGCCACGUUCCUGUCACCUGGGACAGCGCACACAGGGCCACGUUCCUGUCCCUGGGACAGCGCACACAGGGCCACGUUCCUGUCCCUGGGACAGCGCACACAGGGCCACGUUCCUGUCCCUGGGACAGCGCACACAGGGCCAUGUUCCUGUCCCUGGGACAGCGGACACAGGGCCACGUUCCUGUCACUGGGACAGCGCACACAGGGCCACGUUCCUGUCCCUGGACAGCACACACAGGGCCACGUUCCUGUCCCUGGGACAGUGCACACAGGGCCAUGUUCCUGUCCCUGGGACAGCGGACACAGGGCCACGUUCCUGUCCCUGGGACACCACACACAGGGCCAUAUUCCUGUCCCUGGGACAGCGCACACAGGGCCACGUUCCUGUCCCUGGGACAGCGCACACAGGGCCACGUUCCUGUCCCUGGGACAGCGUACACAGGGCCACGUUCCUGUCCCUGGGACACCACACACAGGGCCAUAUUCCUGUCCCUGGGAUGCCACACACAGGGCCACAUUCCUGUCACCUGGGACAGCGGACACAGGACCACGUUCCUGUCCCUGGGACAGCACACGCAGGGCCACGUUCCUGUCCCUGGGACACCACACACAGGGCCAUGUUCCUGUGCCUGGGACAGUGCACACAGGGCCACGUUCCUGA
rnacentral:lncRNA from 1 species